AAGUGAUCCCGUUCGUCGGUGGAGGUAGUCCCAGAUAUUCUAUUGUCUUGACUAUCUGUUGUGGUAGCGUUGUAUGUGAUUCUUGUAAGUUUAUGUUAUAUUUUAAUUUCCAUGCAAGAAAAACAGGGAUCAAAUUCAACCCAAAAUUGUUUAUAUUUAUAAAGAUAUAUACACAGUUACACUCAAAUCGUCUUGUCAUAAAAAUCGAUUUCUCAAUCGGUAACAGCACAGUUGCGAGAAGAAACGACUGCUCUCUCCGUGUGUUGGAUAACGUAUGCCUAAAUUGAUUGCUUACAUUCGCCUGUUCAUUGACAUUUCUACGGUACACUGGGAAUAACACGUAGUCUUGAAUCCUACAAGUGUAAUCCCAUGGUUAUCGACUAGAUUGACCUGUUGUGUAGUCAUAAACGUUGUCAACAGUAGAACUAGUGCACGUGCUGUUGUUCUCGUUCAAUUUGUGUGACGUUUUUUUGGAGUUUUGUUUCGUGAUUCAAUACACAUUUCCACGUGCGCGAGACUUACAUCAUUUGCUACAUGCUUCUCGAUCUUUGAGGGGAUAAAUGAACGACUUGGUGCUUAACAAACCCAGUCGAUAUCUGCCGUAUGUAUUCUCCGUUACUAUAAAGACCUGCUAACCAUUCCAUUCAAUCGCGUGUUCUUGAAAUUUCACUGAAGCUCAGUCGUGCGGAGUGCACAUAUGUCUAGUACUUCAAUCAGCUGAUAUCUGUUGUAGUGUUGUGUUUUUGGAUCGCACACAUCACGAUACGCGCGUGUGCAUUACGUGUGUUUAUAUAUACAUUACGUGUAUAGGUAAAAACACGCGUACAUAAUUUUACCAAACCGGCAUACGGAAUAAUCGAAAUUAUUACAAAAUAUCUGUCAGAAUUUUUCGUUAGCAUACGGCGUGAGAUAUUCUGUGUUCGGGUUACUGAUUAUCUUGUCUGUCAACGCUUGGAUUUCCUCUACAGUGAGAGUGUGUAUCUAUUAUUGUGUAUUGAAGCAAUACGGUUGUACAUCCCAGCAUCAUCAACAUCUCGACUCUCUCUUAUAUCUUACCGUAAAUGGCUACUUUGUCGAACGGAAUGCUGCAAGAUCUUCACUCUCUACAUAAUGGCUCUCAACUUGCCCACCAGCAACAAUCAGCAAGUAUUCCUAUGAAAGACCACGAUGCGGUAAAAUUAUUUGUGGGUCAAAUUCCACGAAAUCUUGAAGACAAAGAUUUGAGACCCGUUUUUGAGGAAUACGGCCAAAUUUAUGAGUUGACAGUGUUAAAAGACAGAUUUACGGGGCUCCACAAAGGCUGUGCAUUCCUCACAUAUUGCAGUAGAGACAGUGCUCUGAAUGCUCAGCAGGCGCUUCACGAACAGAAAACAUUACCAGGGAUGAACCGUCCAAUUCAAGUAAAACCCGCAGACAGCGAGAGUAGGGCAGGUACGAAAACAGAUGAAGAAGACAGAAAAUUGUUUGUUGGUAUGUUGAAUAAGCAACAAUCGGAGGACGAGGUACGACAACUUUUCCAGCCCUUCGGUUCCAUUGAGGAGUGCACAAUCUUACGGGACCAGAACGGAAACAGUAAAGGCUGUGCUUUUGUGAAAUAUACGUCACAUGCUGAGGCCCAAUCAGCGAUCAACGCUCUACACGGAAGUCAGACAAUGCCUGUACGUACUCUCACAAAUGGACAUCCAGUUACCAUGGGUGCUUCUUCAAGCCUUGUCGUCAAGUUUGCCGAUACCGAGAAGGAACGACAACUCCGCAGGAUGCAACAAAUGGCAGGACCUCUUGGUCUUCUAAAUCCUUUUGCUCUAUCACAGAUUGGUGCUUAUGGUGCUAUCGCUCAGCAACAAGCGGCCAUUGUAGCAGCCGCCGCUUCUCAGGGUCCAUACCUGACUAGCCCGGUCACGACGCUAGCCCACAUCCCCCAGGUAGGGGGACUUACGGCCCCUAAUGGGAUCUCUACAGCCGCCCUGACCCCCACUACAGCAUCCCUUGUAGCAAGUGACUUCGAAUUUUGCCCGCGGUCAGGUACCCCGACCCUAAAUGGAGGCCCACCUAGUGUUCUCUCGCCUACUGCUGUGGCAAGUUUCCAGAUGUCACAGUCGAAUGGACAAACACAAGAGAUUUACGCCAAUGGAAUUCCUCAUUACGCAGAUAACGGUACCUCCGCCUACAUCCUACCAGCACGUAACACUUUUCUGCCCUUUGCAGCACAAGCUAUGGCCAAUGGUGAUCCCCUACAAGCUUAUGCUAGCGUCCAGCCGUAUGCCGGAAUCGCCUACCCCGCUGCAUAUCCCACAAUGCAACAGGCCUUGGCACAACAUGCGACACUUAUUCCGGCUACACAGAAAGAAGGAGCUUACAUAGGAGGUCAGGGUCCUGAAGGAUGCAAUCUGUUUAUUUAUCACCUACCACAGGAAUUUGGCGACGCCGAGCUGGCCCAAAUGUUUAUGCCGUUUGGAAACGUGAUCAGUGCAAAAGUCUACGUUGAUCGAGCUACCAAUCAGAGCAAGUGUUUUGGAUUCGUGAGUUUUGACAACCCAACAAGUGCACAAGCGGCCAUCCAGGCGAUGAAUGGUUUCCAGAUCGGAAUGAAGCGCCUUAAAGUUCAACUCAAGCGCCCAAAAGAUGCUAACAGGCCAUACUAAUGAUAGAAAGAAAGGAAGUGUAUCUGCAUCCUGAAGUCUCUCUCAUUCUCCUAAGAGAACUGAGCCCUGAUUGGUUGUAAGAUAUAGCCACCUCAACGUGUCGGAGUGUGGUGAAAAAGUUCAACAAGGAGGCAACUUCAUGACAAAACUAGUUAUUUCCGAGGCCGCCACAGAAAUUUGGGAUCAAACAUAAGUGUACACAGGGACUAAGAGAAAGCCUUUGAAAAAGAAUGCUGAAAAGUGUAGAAGAUAGUUGUGUAAAUAUAUAUAUUAUAUAUUACAAUUUGGUAUGAUUAUUUUAAUUGCAUACUGUUAUUAAAAUGAUUUACUGAAUGUUAAACAGCCCACCACUGGUCAAUGAAAAGGACAAUGUUGCUAUUGUAGGCAUCUAAAGGUAAUUCGCAUAACUCUUUUUUCUACUCAUGUGGUAUCCAUGUGUUCAUGAGGCACCGUUUUACAUGUUCUGCCAUCGAUGCUUACUGCUUUUGCUAUUAACUGUCAUGGUUGAUACUUGAGAGCAGUUUGUACUGUUACAAAUCUGUACAGAAGCAAUCUUUGUCACGAUAUUUGCAUAUAUCAGCAAUUGAAACAUUUGAUCAAUCAAUAAAUAUAAAUUGUAUAGAUAAAUUAUCAUAAUACUUGUGAGUUAUAUCAAAGUAUAUAGCGUGGUGACCAAGAUAUAAAGCAUCGUAUGAACUGUAUACUGAAGUGGACAUACAUGGUAAAAGAAAGAGUUUGAGAGUUUACCUUUGAGAUGGCUAAUUGUGUUGUAUAUAGAAUCUCAAUUUACAUGCUAGGGUUACCCACCUCGCUUUUAUUACAUAUUCUAUGACAUAGUUUAGUUCAUCGGAUCUUUAUGACAAAUUAGAAGUUAUCAUCUUCGAUGAAAAUGAUUAUAACAUGUUAUCAUAUUUAUAUAUUUUACAUUUUUAUGGUUUCUUUUGUUACUCAGGUCUUUGUCUCCUUUAUAAUUUUGAUGGAUUCAGUUUUUCAAAACAUUCCAUUUUAAAUUUGAAUAUGUGAAACGGUGUUAUAUAAGAUAAACGUUUAGUAGUAAUUGUAAACGAAAGUGUCCGUGAGUUUAAUGUUUCUUCAAAAGUUUCCAAAAUGAGAGACGUUUUCCUAUUGGAUGUUGUGCGUUAGUAACCAUGGGAGCAUUCAGUGUUGUCAAGGUGACCAUGACAGUAGAGUGUUUUAGUUCAUGUGAUUGGUUACCUUUCGUUAUGGAAAAUCCUGACGUCAGCUUGUGUCUGAUUCUUUAGACUACAAAUGACGUCAUAACUUCAGAAUGAAAGGCAGUCAGUUACAGAUGUGACAUCACAACCGGGUUUCAUUGUAACCUGAGUCAUAAGUGACGUCACAAUCAGGUUCUAUUUGGCCUGUGUGACAUCACGAAAAUUGAAUGUUGUAUUUCACUUCAAUGUGAUGUGUCAGGUAUAUAUUAAUGGCUUUACUCAUUUUAAUUUAACACAAAGGGGACAAAGACGCUGAUGAUUGAUAAAGAAGAUUAUUUUUUGUACAUAGUUGAUACAAUCUUGCAUUCCGUGAUGAUCAAUAACUACCAAUAUUUUGCAUCCUGUUUUAAAAAUAUAUUCACGUUUCAUGUAAGAUGAGCCUUCCUGUUAAUGAUUAAGACCAUCUACAGUGUAAAAUAGCUUGUAUCAAUAGAUAUUUUUCUUAGCUGUUCUUAGAAACUUUCUUGCUGAUGAAUUCUCUCUGCACAGAUUCGUAUUUUUUCAUCCAAUGAAAUUUCUUCACACAAGGAAAACACGAUAUGUUUUUUUGGCAAAAACUUCAUACUUUCUGCUCGCAUAAAUCGUAAUAUUAAAAUUGGUUAAGUUUGGGCUGAUUUUAUCUCGAGCAACUUUUUAAAUGAUUAUAUUUUGUAAAUUUCAAAAAAGAAUAACGUGUGAGGGUUCAACCUUGAUAUACCACUGUUUUUAUCCAGAGCACUUUAGAAUGAGUUUGGCGAUAUAUUGCAAGGAAGUCGUUUAAGGAUAAAAUGUUUAACGAAAAUCGGGACGGAAAAUGAAUCAACGACAGUAUAUCGGGGUUUUACAUCCAGUUAUUGUCAUGUCAUAAUAAUCCUCAAAAUUAACAAAAAAUGUGUAAACAUUAACACGAUCGUUUUUAUACCUAUAAUAUUACACUAGGGAAACUAAGAUGAGAACACUCCUACGAUAUUUUCUUAAUGAUAUUCAAUGGAAGUACAUUGGCUGGUGAUGUAUUUAAUUGUUUCUGUUGUUUAUAAAAAGGGUAUACCUCUCAAAUGCCUCGGGUUCUGUCUAUCCUGUUUGUCUCCUGGGCUACCUGUUUAGGUGACACUUUCUGAACAUUAAAUAUAAAUCAAAUAGGCUCACCAAAAUAUUUUGCGUACUUCUGGAAUAAUCAAUAUUGAAUUUUCUAUUUAAACUUUAAAAGUCCCCUGCGUCAAUAAUUUUCAAUCUUCAAUAUGCGUAAUUUAUAUACAUAUUAGCCUUUGGUAGCUAAUUGUUUUGAAUUACAUAUCAAAUAUAUUUAUGUAAUUUCGAAAAUUCCGUUAUUAUUAAAUUGUUUCCUUUCGCUUUUCGAUGAUUUUCGUCAAAUAUAGAUUUUUUGGGGGAAAUUUGAUGUUCAUUACAUAAUGCUAUCACAGGAGUGACACGUGACAAGCGAGUUAGACAGACGAGGUUUACUGGUGAAAUUGUACCGUCGUUUUUCCGUCGUGUUAUAUAAACUAUUAUUAUUUAUUUGUGAGCUGUUCUAUGUUAUUGUUUGGCUGAGCACAUGAUUGUUAUGUUGGACACAUGAACAAAUUUGUUAACAAACUUUUUAUCAGGAAUUCGUUAUUUUACAGUUUUUUCUUUAAUUGAUUAAUUAAUGAAUUUAAUUUAAAGUAAGAGAGGUAUGUAUGAUAAACACUGUAUAUAUUUUAUCUAAGUAGAUAUGUAUUUAUUACUUGACGUCAGAAAAUGUUUAAUAUGUUUUAUUAUAAACAAACAAUUACACAAAUUAUUGUAGAUACUAUUAUUAUUAUUAUCGAACAAUCUCAUUUUCAAUUCAAGAUCUUUUAAAUCUUAAUGUUUUCUUCAACCGAACCGGAACAGUUAUUAACGAGCUCAUACGACUUGUUGAUCCGAAUCUAACGAAUGACCAAAAGAAACAAAAUAUCCAAGAUUGUGUUACCUUAUCGGUAUAGGAAAUGUAUAUCUCGUUUUGAUCAGCUGAUCAAAAAUGAUAAUUACUUUUUGUCUAAAAUUAUACAAUACGUCGAUAUAUAAUUGAACAUUAUUACAUUCUGCAUCACUUACGAAUGAUAGGCUCCACAUGGAAGUGCUUCUAAUUAAAGUUUAGAACAUAUUCCGGUACGUUAAUCAGUUAAAAAAUACAAGAUUUAGGUUUUCUAAGCCAGUUUUCCCCUUUGAUUGUUUGAACGCCUCAGAGUGACCAGAAUUCAAUGGAGAAAUUCUACAACUUAAUUUCUCGUGAUAUUGCCACAUUCUUUUUUAUACUAUUUUAUUAUAUCAGUUGAAUUAUUUUCAAAAAAGAAAAUGUAUUUUUGUCACGUGCACCUUGUGCUGAUGAAAAAGGUUUAGAAAACUAUUUUUGCUUCAUACAAUAAACGGUGCCUUUGACAAUCAUGAACGAUACUAGGAAACAUUUUUGAUCGGGUAGAUUUCACAUUGAUUGUAAAUUUGUCUACAUGUUUUUUCUCUUUAAAAUUAUAUAAACUUUAUGUAUGUCAGCUACGGUAUUGUACUUUGGUGUAUGAAAUAUUUUCUAAAGUCGUUUUCCAGAUUUGUCGUGUUGUAAAGUGAAGAUUAAAAAAAUGAACAUUUCAUUUUCCAGCGCUCUCGUAAUUCGAUAUUACGGAUUUCGUCGAUUAAAUUAUCGUUACUUUGUUUGUUAUCCCAGAGUUUAAGUUACAACGGAUAUUUUCAUUAUCCAGCGAUCUCGCUAUUCAGAAUAACUGGCAAUUAUUGUUUCAUCAACUCGUAUAUCAUUCGUUAUUCCAGAGAUAACGUUUUCCAAACAAUAACCGGUAAGCAAGGUUGUGAUGACAAUUGAAGAGAAAUACCUUUUUUUUCUUAAUUCAAAAUAAAUAAUUGUAGUAGUUUUUACUGUUUUUGAAUUGAUUUUCAAAAUUUUCAUAAAUAUCUUAUUAUGGCAACAUCGAGGCCAUCUUUGAGGGAAGAUUAAAUUCUACCUUUUUAAACGUUCGAAGUUUGUUCAUACUCUUUUAAAACUCUUCAGUGGUAGACAUUGUGAAAUGAUAGUGUAGAUUUUCAUGUGGUUCUUGUGUUUGUUGGAACAAAAUGUUUGAAAUUAUAUAAUGUUAAUGACACAUAUCUUUGAAAUUUAUUUUUAUCUGAAAACAUACCGGUUUUCCCCCUCUUUUUUCUUCAAGGUUGAAGAUUUACAAUUGCAUUUUUAAAUGUCAUUAACCUUAUCAAAAGCUGUACAUCUUGAUUAAUUCUUUUAAUCCUAUGUAACCGAGGUUUAUUUUUAUAAACAAAGUGUCUACGUUUUCCUUAUUGAUGUCUGACUCUAUCAAUGACGUCAUACAUGAUCUGACGUCAUCAUAUAUUUCGUUUAGAUACACUCUGAUUAACUCAAGCUCCUGCUUCUUCAUAUUUUUUUUUCAUUAAGAAUAUCGCUAUUUAUUGCCUCGUUAUAUCUGUCUCAUGUAUCUGAAUCUGACGACAAUCAAAAUUGUCGAUUUUGUUUGCGUUUAAUAUCAACUUUUGUAGUGGGACUGUUAAUGGAUACGAUCUUGUUUUUUAAACACAAUGGAUAUUAGUGUUGUUCUGAAAUCCAAAAGCGUUUUUAAUGUUUUAUUUAUUGAAAAUGACAGGAAUUUCUUAUUGUUUAUAAUUUAUUGAAUUUGUUGUAAGAAAUGGUUAUGUGCAAUAUAUACCCAGAAUUUGUUAACUCUCCUAGUCAGUAUUUAUUUCAACAUUGAAUUGGUGCAAUAUGUUUUUAAACUUAUAUUGCAGUGGAGGACAAACAAUCUCAACGUUAUUCAAAAUAUCUCAUAUAAUUUGGUGAAAGAUAUAUCUGUAAAUGCAAUAAAGAUAUUUUCAAUUAACUCAGAAUAUCUUAAUUCCUUUUAUAGAUAUAUCUAAUUGUUUUAGAGAUAUAAGCUCUUGGCCUAGAUUAAGACUAUCUACAAGCCUGCUUUGUUAUUGGCCAUUGUAUAUACUGUUUUUGUUUGUAAGUACGAACUGUCUUUUACAAUAUGUUACACUGACAAACUGUAAAAUGUUGAUUCAAUUAUGUCAUUUAAUGACCAAGUGCUGAAUGCGAACUACAGAUCACGGGUUCAAAUUCAAAUACUGGUCUCGUGUUUUAUGUCAAUUACUGGCCACGUGAUCUGGUCACGUGUUGGAUGUGAAUUGGUUAUGGCGCAUUAUCACAUUAUUCCUGUGCCAUGUGUUGACUUACAUGUACUUAAUUUCAAUCGUAGAAUAGGUAAUUUAGACUAGAAACUUCCUGUAUAUUCGUAGACUAGUAUAAUCAAUAUAGAUUAAACAACUUGCUUAUAUAAUUCACAAGCUCAAAUAUAUAUCAUAAUAACAUACGUAUCCUCAUCUCGCUCGUAGCGUACAUGCGGAUCCUGUUGACUUAAUGUCAUAUGUACAUUCAUCUCUUGCCACCUAAAUUCUAUCCUAGUGAACAGAGAUGAUGCUAUACUGAAAUGAUUAUAGCUCUUGUUUUUUGUGGUCCAGAAGUUGAACCUAUCAAAUAACUUGUCGCGAUAACACUUUAAUACAGAUUAUGAGUCAUUUGUUAUUGGCAUUUUGAGGAUGUCUCAUAUUUCAUGUAGAUAUAGACAAUAUGCGCGAAAAGCUGAAAUUGCAUUUUGAUUUGGAUUUUUCUAUAAUCACAAAAACAGGGUUUUUCUAUCAUUAAAAUCACCUAAUUGUUGUAGCGACAAUUGGACCUAAUGUGCUAUUGUCUAGGUUUUGUUUCUUAAUGCAACAAUAUUAUACGAUGUUAAUGACACCUUAUACAAUCAAUAUAUUUGAAUGCAAGCAUUUUUUGCAAACUUGUCAUUUUGAAAGGCAGACAUUUUUGAUGAUGUGAUUCAUUCAUUUUCCACAUCGGAUUUCAACAGGAUUCAACGGCUGGAUUAAUGUUUCCUGGAAAUAGGUUGGUCACGUGAUAUGUAAAUAGCGAUGGUCAAUUAAUAUUCAUUAAUGUCUUAUUGGUCCUUUAUUUUUCUCUUCAGAAAAUGUAUACAUAUUUAGAUUUGGUGGUGAACUUUUUUGAUAAAAUAAAUACAGACAGACUUUAUAUAUUUUUAUAUGACUCACUAUAUAUUUUAAAGAUAAUUUCAGUGUUUCUACUUGGUGUUAAGCGUAGAUCUUUAAUUACAAAAACAAAUCAACAUAUUAUGUUGAUAUAUUUUUCAUUUUUUAAAUAAUUUCUCUUGUGAUUUUCAACCAGAGAGAGAGAGGGAGAAAGAAUAUUCGAAUAUAUUCAAAAUUGGAAUCAAAUUUGAAUAUCUCUCGAUUGAAUUUGACAAGGGGGAUAACUCAAUAGGUUGUGGUCUGUAUUGGUAUUGUAUUGUAAAAAUAACGUUAUUAGAAUCGUAAAAGCUGUCGUUUUAUCACUAUCGUUGCGUAAAGUUCAGUCGGAAUAAUAUAAAUUAAUAUUAAAUCUCUGAAAAUAUUUUUUUUUCUUUUUAUAGUUUACAAUUUAGAAUGGGGACCUAGCAAUAAAAGAUAAACAAAUCAAUAUGCAAAAAUUCGCUGUUAAAUAUCCAUACUAGUAAGAUAUGUUAUAACAUAUUCAAAGAUAUCAAGAAUAACUAUAUGACCAGUACUUUGAUGUAACUUUAUCAUAAUUCUGGAUUUUACUUAAAGUUAUGUCGGAUUGAAGAGUUACUCGCACUUAUCACAGAUGGUAACGAUAUUGUAAUUUUUUAGCUGUUGUUGCUAACAGUAUAGGUGUUUACACUUUCUAACAUAAGUAUAUAUAUCUACAGUAGUGAUGUGGUGUAUUUUCCAUCUAAUUUUUACAAUAAAAAAACUUUGGCUUCCAUUUUCUAUAGGAAAUAGCAAAGAUAUAAUUUGAUACAGUCUUUGCAGUUUUCCAAACGUCAUCUUCACAAGAUGAGAGGCCCUUGCAUUUACCCUGAAAGUGCGUAAAUUUGAACGAUCAUUGAAGGUCAUUUAGAUUAUUUUGAAGAAAUUAAAGUUUAAUGGGUAUUUGAAAGUGCUUUUUCUUCAUAUGUGAAAGGUGCAUUGACAUUCGAACCCAGGUUUUCGUAAACUUUAAUCCAGCCGUUUAUCAUUGAUAUUUGUACCUCAUAUAUUCAUUAUUUUCUCGGGGCCAGCUGUGGAAUCAGAGCGAUGGUGUUAGAACACCUGGCCAAGUCUAUAUGAUGUAAGUUUCAUUAUUAGUCUCUUAAGAGAGAUGUUUAAAUUAUUUUUUGCACUCAUGUAGUUGACUUUGUCAUCAUUUCGCCUGUACAAAAAUCAUUACAAUAAAAAUAGAUCAAGAAA